rnacentral:tRNA from 1 species
CAAGAAGUAGUUUAUUUAGAAUGCCAGCUUUGGGUGUUGGUGGUAGGGCUUGAGCUUUCUUCUUGA